rnacentral:tRNA from 1 species
UUACCCGUAGGUUAUUUUAAACUUGUAAAUUGUGGAUUUAUAGAUUACUUUUGUGCGUGUAAA